UACGUAGGGGGCAAGCGUUGUCCGGAAUCAUUGGGCGUAAAGAGCGUGUAGGCGGUUCGGUAAGUCGGCUGUGAAAGUCCAGGGCUCAACCCUCGAAUGCCGGUGGAUACUGUCGGGCUAGAGUGCGGAAGAGGCGAGUGGAAUUCCUGGUGUAGCGGUGAAAUGCGCAGAUAUCAGGAGGAACACCUAUUGCGAAGGCAGCUCGCUGGGACGUUACUGACGCUGAGACGCGAAAGCGUGGGGAGCAAACAGG
rnacentral:rRNA from 1 species